AUGAUCAUCACCACCGCCGCCUUCCCGUCCGUCUCCUCCUUCCACCGCCCGCGCCUCAGGCCCUGCCCGCGCCGCGCCGUCCUCCACCUCGUCCGGUCGGCCGCCUCCUCCUCCCCCUCGUCGUCGUCCUCGUGGGAGGAGCGCGAGGAAGCGCGGUGGCUCCGCGAGGAGCAGCGCUGGCUGCGGGAGGAGCAGCGGUGGCUCCGCGAGGAGUCGCGCUGGCGCACCGAGCGCGAGGCCCUCCUCUCCGAGAUCACGGCGCUCCGCCUGCGCCUCCGCGCGCUCGAGCCUGCCGCCGCGCCCGUGCCUCCUCCCGCACCGGCGGCUGCGCGCGUCGCUCCGCCUCCGCCUCCGCCUCCCCCCGCACCGGCUGCGCGCGUCUCUCCGCCUCCGCCUCCCCCCGCACCGGCUGCGCGCGUUGCUCCACCUCCGCCUCCUCCCGCGCCUGCGGCACGCGUGGCGCCACCUCCGCCGCCCGUGCCGGCGCCGGUGAAGGAGGUCGAGGUGAGGAAGGAGGUGGUGGUGGUCGAGGAGAAGGCCAAGGCGAAGCCGAAGCCGAAGGCGGGGGCCAGCAGCGGCAAGAAGCGGGCGCUGAGGGUCGGGAGCGAAGGGGAGGAAGUGCGGGCGAUGCAGGAAGCCUUGGAAAAGCUUGGAUUUUACUCCGGCGAAGAGGACACGGAGUUCUCCAGCUUCUCGACCGGCACCGAACGAGCCAUCAAGACAUGGCAGGCAUCGAUAGGGGCUACAGAGGAUGGGCUGAUGACGUCGGAGCUACUCGAGAUGCUAUUCACAGGACGGACCCAGGACGAUCUCAAAAAGGAAGGCGUAAACGGAGCGCUUGUUCCACCUGUAACAGAAACCGCAGAGCUUCAGCAACCUGUGGAGGAAAAAAUUGACUACAACAAGCACAGAGUGUACCUUCUCGGCGAAAACAGGUGGGAAGAUCCGUCCAGGCUGACCAAGAAGGAUAAGCCGAUCAGCGGUUCUACUGCCGCGUCGACAAAGCAGUGCAUCACCUGCCGGGGCGAAGGCCGCCUCCUGUGCCUAGAAUGCGAUGGAACAGGUGAGCCCAACAUUGAACCACAGUUCUUGGAGUGGGUUGGCGAAGACACAAAGUGCCCAUACUGUGAAGGCCUUGGCUACACAAUAUGUGAUGUUUGUCAAGGGAUUAAAACAGCACACAGUUGA
rnacentral:rRNA from 1 species